GGGGAAACCCACCUUAAAUACCUAGAAAAUCUGUUUUGUUGCUUUGGCUGCGAGGGACUUCCUUCGUAGCGCAAAGCGCGUCGCCGGUUAUCCGGCGCGCCGUCCGCAGGCCUUUGGCCGUGAGGACAAAACAGGUUUCUAGGUAUUGUGAUAAGGUAUCUGCACCUGAAUACAUAGGGUGUAAACAAGCGAACGCAGGGAACUGAAACUUCU
rnacentral:rRNA from 1 species